AGCUCCAAUAGCGUAUAUUAAAGUUGUUGCGGUUAAAAAGCUCGUAGUUGGAUUUCUGCCGAGGACGACCGGUCCGCCCUCCGGGUGAGCAUCUGGUUCGGCCUUGACAUCUUCUUGGUGAACGUAGCUGCACUUGACUGUGUGGUGCGGUACCCAGGACUUUUACUUUGAGGAAAUUAGAGUGUUUCAAGCAGGCAUACGCCUUGAAUACAUUAGCAUGGAAUAAUAGCAAGGACCGUGUGUCAGAGCUGUUGGUUUUUGGCACGUGG
rnacentral:rRNA from 1 species